GAAGCGGCGCCCAUCCCCCGGCGCUUACCUGGGCGGCGGCGCUCCCCGUCCCCGGGAGCGGAGGCGCGAGAGGAAUCCGCCCGCGUCCGCCUCUCCUCCGUGGUUGUUUUUAUACGGCCAUAGAGACAGACGGGCACAUGUCUGUGUGUGUACACACCGAGAGGUUUGUUUAUUUUUUUGUUGAUCGAAACCACGUUCAUCGCUGGGUGGGCCUUUCCAUCGCACACUGCUUUUGCAGCAGCAUUUCGUGCUCCGGGGCAUUGGUCCCACACUCAUCGGCACUGCAGGGACCGCAAACCACCACGGGCCCCACUGCAGCACCAGGGCCUGUAUGAGGCUCCCACCAAGGCAGGGCUCAGAUGGACCUCCACAACACCGCCCGUCUGCAUAGUGGCCAAAGCGGGACCUCCGUGUCUUUCUGCAGAAUGCGCUUCCACCAGGCCUGGCUCAAUAGGACUGUGGACACACGGGCCACAGACGUAGCUUCUUUUUGUUUAAUAUCUCAGAAUUGCAGGAGGAUCGCACUUGUUCUAACUCUGGAGCUAAGGGUGUGUUUCACUUGCAGCCUAACCCAGGCAGAUUUCGCUACCUGAGCUUCAGCUCCCAAGCAGAUGGGACUCUUCUGCUCCAUAAGAUCGUGAUGAAAGCAGACAGGGUGGGGCUGUGGGUGCAGCAGCACCUCGCAGUGCUCAUUUUUUAGAGCCACGUCCAUGGGCUUCUCUUUGUUUUAGAAGAAGAAUAUUUAAAUUUUGCAGAAAGCAAGUUGGAGUUUUUUUUGCAUCGCAAAGUUGUUUAAUUCUGAGAAAACCGUGGGCCUUCAAUCCGGUUGCUUAAAGAAGACUGAAGUGUCUAGAAAGCUGGGCAGCGUGUUUGUAAUGGCAAACCGCUCAACCUUUAUUUCUGUAAUCGCUUUGAUGGCAAAGCGGACAACUUUCUCUUCUCAGUGCUGGUGUGUAGGCUGUAAGGAUGCAGUAAGUUUAUGAAGUCCAACACCAGAAUUUCAGAGGUCGUUGUCAUCUGAAGGCGAGACGUGAGCUGUUUGCUGAAGGUUGGGAAAUGUAAGAAGGGGAGGAAGAAGUGGCGAGAGACUCGCUCACACCUUCCUGUGUUAUCAUCUCAGAUGUACCGUGCUUCUAAAGGAGUUUAACCUCUCGGUACUCGGAAGGACUUAUUUCCUAGUUAAGAGCAGAUAAGGAGUAAGGGUGGGUGGAGGAAGGGGGAAUGGGAACUUGCACGUAGCCUGAGGCAGAAGGAAAGACGAUAAGGGACCUCAUGUAGAGGACUGCCCUGAAGGAGGACGUGGCAGGGGCUGCAAAACAAGAUAGCAAUAGGAGAUUUAAGCCCAGAAAUGAGGGAGGGAAAACCCCUCAAGUGUGCCUUGUUUGGCCCACAGAAACUGCAAACACUGCCUUCCCAUCCAUCUGCCGAGCAGCGACAACAUGCUGAGCUGAAGUCAUCUGGCUGAAGGUUUCUGUGGUCUCCUGUUCACCAAAUGUUCAGUCACAACUCCAGCAUGCCAGGCUUUCACUUUCGAUUAUCGCGCACUGAGCUGGCGAUUACCUGCGUGCAUGUUCGGCCCUGCAGAAUCCGCGAAGUGCAUUCUGGCAGAUGUAUGCUGCAGUAACGUUCCCCCUUCCAUUUUGUUCCAUUUUCUCUUACUUUACUAUGGCCCCAGCUCAGUGAACACCUCACGAGCCCGCACAGGGCAUUACUUCGUGCUGCCACUUUCCAUGGUCUCGUCACCUCAACUUCUGGGAAGUCUUCUCACAGCCAUAUUUAUAAGGCAUAUCCUUAAAAUAGCUGAAAUUACUUGUAACAGUGAGUGCUCGGCCUACUAAGCACAUACAAGCAAAUAUUUGCAAUAACUGGACCGGUGUUUGCACAGCACCGAGCGCACCGCCUGGACUCCAUAAAUAAUAAUACUUGGCACUCACAGAGGGGUUUCCAUUUUCAAGGCACUUUAGUCAUAACCCUUGACACCUAUAUGGCCUUUUACAUCUUUACAAGAAUUAAUUAAUCCUCGCAGUGUCCUGUGAGAUAGGUAUGCAUUGCAGUAAUAACAAUAACAACAAUUAAUAAUUCAUGCAUUCUACUCGAAAAUCACUUCAGGGAUUAAAAUGCGUCUGUAAUACUAGGGGUUUUUUCAUUAACAUUUUCCAGCAAAUAAUAAAAUCCAUGGUAUUGUGUUAAAUCUGUAUAGUGUCUAACCAUAAAUCUUCUACAGACUGGGACGAAGCUGAAGGCCGAGCGAGAUGCCAGAACAUCAGCACGAAUUAGAUUACUGAGUUCAGAAAAGCAAGCUUGAGCCCAGUCCACCACGCAGCUUAGGUGCCAGAACGAAACUUCCCAUGUAUGGCAGUGCAUAAAUAAAUACGAGCGACCCAGGAA